UGGGGAAUUUUGCACAAUGGGGGAAACCCUGAUGCAGCGACGCCGCGUGAUUUAGAAGGCCUUCGGGUUGUAAAAAUCUUUUCUAUGGGAAGAAAAUGACAGUACCAUAGGAAUAAGGACCGGCUAAUUACGUGCCAGCAGCCGCGGUAAUACGUAAGGUCCGAGCGUUGUCCGGAAUCAUUGGGCGUAAAGGGUACGUAGGCGGGUAAGCAAGUUAGAAGUGAAAUCCUGUAGCUCAACUACAGUAAGCUUUUAAAACUGCUCAUCUUGAGAUAUGGAAGGGAAAGUGGAAUUCCUAGUGUAGCGGUGAAAUGCGCAGAUAUUAGGAGGAAUACCGGUGGCGAAGGCGACUUUCUGGCCAUAAUCAGACGCUGAGGUACGAAAGCGUAGGUAGCAAACAGG
rnacentral:rRNA from 1 species